CGUUCCGGCGCGCUGCUGGUCCAGGUUGGCCA
rnacentral:scRNA from 1 species